UCGCGACCCCGGGCCAGGCGGA
rnacentral:rRNA from 1 species